rnacentral:rRNA from 1 species
GACGAACGCUGGCGGCGCGCUUAACACAUGCAAGUCGAGCGGGAACCAGGGCUUCGGCCCUGGGGACAGCGGCGAACGGGUGAGUAACACGUGGGUAAUCCACCCUCGGCACCGGAAUAGCCCGGGGAAACCCGGAUUAAUGCCGGAUGGCCCGUCGACCCUUCGGGGCUGACGGAAAAGGUAGCUUCGGCCUCCGGCCGGGGACGAGCCCGCGACGGAUUAGCUUGUUGGUGGGGUAACGGCCUACCAAGGCUCCGAUCCGUAGCUGGUCUGAGAGGACGAUCAGCCACACUGGGACUGAGACACGGCCCAGACUCCUACGGGAGGCAGCAGUGGGGAAUCUUGCGCAAUGGGCGAAAGCCUGACGCAGCGACGCCGCGUGAGGGAAGAAGGCCUUCGGGUUGUAAACCUCUUUCAGGAGGGACGAAGCCACUCGGGUUAAUAGCCCAGAGGGUGACGGUACCUCCAGAAGAAGCCCCGGCUAACUACGUGCCAGCAGCCGCAGUAA